AACGUAGGAGACGAACGUUAUCCGGAGUUACUGGGCGUAAAGGGCGUGUAGGCGGUUUGUUAAGUCUGGCGUGAAAGCUCUCGGCUAAACCGGGAGAGGUCCGUUGGAUACUGGCGAACUAGAGGAUGGUAGAGGCGUGUGGAAUUCCGGGUGUAGUGGUGAAAUGCGUAGAGAUCCGGAGGAACACCAGUCGGCGAAGGC
rnacentral:rRNA from 1 species